rnacentral:rRNA from 1 species
AUACGGAGGGUGCGAGCGUUAAUCGGAAUUACUGGGCGUAAAGAGUUCGUAGGCGGUGAGUUAAGUUAGAUGUGAAAGCCCCGGGCUUAACCUGGGAACUGCGUUUAAAACUGGCUCACUCGAGUUUAGUAGAGGGAAGUGGAAUUUCAGGUGUAGCAGUGAAAUGCGUAGAGAUCUGAAGGAACACCAGUGGCGAAGGCGACUUCCUGGACUAAAACUGACGCUGAGGAACGAAAGCGUGGGUAGCAAACGGGAUUAGAAACCCCAGUAGUCC